rnacentral:rRNA from 1 species
UACGAAGGGGGCUAGCGUUGCUCGGAAUCACUGGGCGUAAAGCGCACGUAGGCGGGCUCUUAAGUCGGUGGUGAAAUCCUGGAGCUCAACUCCAGAACUGCCUCCGAUACUGAGAGUCUUCGAGUUCGGGAGAGGUGAGUGGAACUGCGAGUGUAGAGGUGAAAUUCGUAGAUAUUCGCAAGAACACCAGUGGCGAAGGCGGCUCACUGGCCCGAUACUGACGCUGAGGUGCGAAAGCGUGGGGAGCAAACAGG